AUUGAACGCUGGCGGCAUGCCUAACACAUGCAAGUCGAGCGGAGCGACGGACGGGUGAGUAAUGCCUAGGAAUCUGCCUGGUCGUUUGGUAUAACAUCCGGAAACGGGCUCUAAUACCGCAUACUAUCAGAUGAGCCUAGGUCGGAUUAGCUAGUUGGUGGGGUAAAGGCCUACCAAGGCGACGAUCCGUACCUGGUCUGAGUGGAUGAUCAGUCACAUGGGAACUGAGACACGGGCUAGACUCGUAAGGGAGGCAGGAGUGGGGAAUAUGGGACAAUGGGCGAAAGGCAGAGUUAGCCAGUCCGCGUGUGUGUAGAAGGUCUUCGGAUUGUAAAGAACUUUAAGUUGGGAGGCGUUACCAAAAGAAUAAGCACCGGCUAACUCCGUGCCAGCAGCCGCGGUAAUAC
rnacentral:rRNA from 1 species